AAUGGAGAGUCCCACACUGAGGAAAAAUCGAUUAAGUGUUUCAUAAGACUACAGCUUAUGAACCGAGUAGAAAUCAAUUCUAUUAAGAAUCUUGGCAAGGAUGGAAAACGAGAAAGGAAUCAUUAUUGACCAGCAGCUAUUGCUUAACGAUUUACUUAGUGAUGCGCCAGAAUUUUGCAGGAAGAUAAUACCACAGACUAACAGACAUGACAGUAUGAGUAAAUUCUUAUCAAAAUAAUUUUUCGUGAUUCACUAGUUCCACCUAUAUUGUACUGCGCGAACUAUUUCCUAUCGGUACACCCCUUGUGUUAUGUGAAAGUUUUUUUACUAGUUGGUUUCCCCUCGUUUGUCAACACCGAUCAGCUGCUUGCAGGGAUGCCUGAUUUCAUCAUAAUAUUUGAAAAUGAAUCAUCACAAUAAAUUAUUGGAUUACGUUGGUAAUAUACUCAACUUUUUCAGCGAUGUUGGAAGGUAACCAUUUAUUUUUCUCAACGUUGCUCAUCUAGAUUAUUUUUUAUUAUGUUGGUAAUUUUCAUCCGAAAUUAAGUGGCGGUAGACCAGAAGCAAGUAAAUAUUGUAACAAAACGGGUUCGAUUUUGUAUUGCGUUGGAGGAUGAGAAGUAGCACAAUUAUGUAUAUAGUUUUGGCAAUAUGUAUUAAAUCUGUAUCCUGCAUGAAAUUCGCAUGGACGUAGACAAAUCAAUACAUUACAGGUAAUUCUGUAUGAAUGGCAACUCUGUUGGUAAAUGAAAAAAAUAAACACAGUCUAGAUGACAGAAAGGAUAUUUUAUAUAGGGUAACGUGGCGCCAUCAUGACACAGGUGAGUACUGUCCCAAAUAAAGGAAUAUUCGAAAUGACCGUUAAAAUGAUUGAAGAAUCUAAUUUGAGUGUCCUGUCUGUUAGUCUGUGAUAAUACCGUCUACGAAUUUCUAUCAGUUGGUUACGUACACGCAAACUGAUUUUUUCAAACACAUUCCGAUCGAGCUUUCGCAAAAUAGCGAAACGUUUUGGAAUUGGGUAGUUGAUUGGCGACAAAGAAAUGGAAUCAAUGAUGUGAUCUUCAUGGAUACCAGUUAUGAUAAUGAUUCAGAAAGAGAAAAUGUUCAUUCCGCAAGUCCUACAAAACAAUCUUGUAAAGUGAACAGUUGAUUUACGACACUUUGAUCGAUUAUCCGGACUGUGUUUUGAAUUUAAACGAAAAAUCACAGCACCCUACUGGACAUGCACCACAUCAAACCGUUGAUGAUUCGACAACAACGAGCGGACCGUUUAUUCUCGAAAGGGACAACAAUAAAUCAGAUGCGCGUUUAAAAAAAAAGAAAGCAUGCUUUUAUCACGAAUACUUCACUACCGAUUGCUGAUGAAGUCGUCGCAGGUGAUUAUGCAGAAAAGCCGACUUUAAAAGAAGAACCGCUGAUUUCAAAUAUUCCUGAGUCAAUAGUCGACAACGAAAGAUCAUAUACGAAUGAACACAUAGUACGAAAAAAUGAAGAUAUAGCACCAACAUAUUUGACUCCAGAACAUCUUCGAACUCUACUACAGGCAUCAGACUACGGAAAACAAAUUUUGCAGUAUUCAAAUACCCACCCGCUUUCUGAAGCCGGACAGAAAUUGGUUUUGGAAACUGUUGCUGAUUUUCACAUAUCGAAGCAAAGGAAAACCACCACCCAAGCGAUCAGUGACCUUAGUGACGUAAUAGUUAGAGUAUUCCCGAAAGAAUCUAAGGAUACGUAUUUUUUGCGGAAAAAUAACCGAUCAAACCGACGACACGACCAGGCACUCCGAAGGAAAUCUGAAUAGAAAGUGUUCGUGAGCGAUUUACCGCCAGUUACCAAAAAUAUAGCAACCCCUUGAUAAUGAUAAAAAUAAUUUUCUUGAGCAACACUGUUUAAGUUGCUACGAACUUGUUACCAAGG